GCCUACUUGUGAUCUCUCUCUGUCAAAAAAAUAAAUAAAAUCUUUAAAAAAAAAAAGAAAAAGAAAGAAAGAAAAUGCAGGCUUGUCUUGAGGGGUGAUUUAAGCAUCUCCUACACUCUUGAAGAAUUGUAGGUUCUAGGCAGUCUUCCUGCAGAUCCUAAUAGAACCGUCCUGUGAAGGCUAGUUUUGCUCAGUUUGACCUCGUAUUUGCUGUAUGUGUUUUGCAUACCUUAAUUACUUGUCUUCCAUUUUCUAAGGCCUCGCUAAUCUAAAAUAUAAACCGUUUGCAUUCUAAUAUAUAAUUUGUUUCCCUUAUUAGAAUAAUUGUUGCUUAGAGCCUAAAAUGUAAGAAAAUAUAUUCAUGAGUAACUCAUUGCCCUUUAAUUUUUAUUUAUUAUGAGUAGAACUGGAGUAGAAAGGCCGAGGGCAAGUCUGCCUGAGGAAGAGUUCAUACGAAGGUCACUUUGGCAAAGUGUGUUCUUAUCGCCUACUGAGCUUUGGGAAAAUGCAAAGGAGGAAUGAGCCUGACACGUGAGAAAAGUACACACUCAUAAUGUAGCACAGAAAAUAGCCCUCCUGUUUUUUUUCUUUUCUUAAUUUACUUUCCUCAGAACUAAAGAGCCCACGGCGUCGUGUCGAAUCCCCUCCUCCUCCUGAACCUCUCCUUCCUCGGGCGCUGUUCGCCUUUCAGGCCCGCGUUCCCCUUCCUCGAUUCUCCGCCCGCCCUUUCAUUCUGUUGUCGCCGUUCACAAUCACAGAUCUACAGAAGAAGUUGAAGGUACAGUGGAAGAAUUUUUAAUGAAACAUUUGCAAGUUCAUCUCCAAGCUGAUGCCCCCGAUCUCUGAAUAUUUUCCUGUGUUUUUGCUGAGCAGGUUCUCCUGCACACAUCCUCAUAAUGCAAACAUUAAAGCCAGGAACUCAACAAAGUGGAUUACCUGAGCCUCAGAUCCCACGUAUCCCAGCAUCAUUUACGGACAAAGCAUCUUAUGAAUAUAGGUGCAAAAUAAAAUACUAGCAAACUGGAUCUAGCAAAAUAUGAGAGAAUUAUGGAUCACAACCAAGUGAACUUUGUCACAAGAAUGCAAGCACCCGUCCUGUGCUUUGGUCGUUCUAUCUGACCUGUCAGAGCUGGUCUCCCCGUGUGGGACGCUCCUCUCACAGCAAAGAUGCAGGUUCUGUACGUGACCCAGACUCGGUCGACCAGACACACUUGCUCAGACUUGGAGGUGGAGAGCGGUGACGUGGAAGAGGACGGCCUUGGGCAGCCCACACUAAUGCAGGCCUGUGCCGAGAGCGGCCGGAUGGGGUUCUGCUGUGCUUGGACUUGGCCCGUAAAUGGCACCAUCAGCGGUGACCUCAGCUCCACUACUCGGUGAUCGGGGUAUCCAUGGGGCAAGCUGUCUGAGAGGGAACCCAGGGUAAGGGAGGAGGACAUGAUGGGUAUCUUCAGUGUAGUAUCUUUCUCUUGGAAUAUAUGAAUUCUAGGAGGAUUUGUUGGCCAUUGUAUUUGAAGACCUUAAGAACUGAAUUGUUAGUAAAGUUAUUGGAGCAUGAGGACAUUUCAGUACGGAGAUAGUUGGAAAACAAUUUAAUUUGGUGUCAGUGUAUGAACAAUGAACUGCUUCAUUUUUCAAGGUUAACGGGAACAAAAUUUAAAUGGUUGAUAAAGUCUUGAAAUGGUUAAGAUCCUGUGCCAACAAGGGUACAAGAAACUGUUGUCAGCAGGAUUAUGAAUUGUUACAUUUUGGAGACCAAAUUGCAUCUAUGUAUGGAACAUGAAGGUUGGUUUCAUCACUUCUAGCCAGUGUGUUCACUUUGGAGAGUCUAUGCCCUAAAUAUAAUUAGAUGAAGGCAUGUGUAAAAUUAUAUUUUAAUGUAGCAUUUUUGGAGUAGCAAACAAAAAAA